GAGUGAGGGAGUGACAGGUGACAGAGUGAGGGAGUGACAGGUGACAGAGUGAGUGACUAGUGACAGAGUGAGGGAAGGGGUGACUGUCACUAGUCACCCCAUCCCUCUGUCACUAGUCACUCCCUCCUAACUGUGUCACCUGCUCCCUCACUCUGUCACUAGUCACCCCUCCCUCACUCUGUCACUAAUCACCCCCUCUCUCACUCUGUCACCAGUCAUCCCUUCCUUCCCUCACUCUGCCACUAGUCAUCCCUUCCCUCACUC